CAAAAUAGAUAGCUUUCACUCAUCACUGGACGUCUUUUUUACUUAUUUCCUUUGUCAACUCAAAUAACCCUCAUACAAAUUCAUCAAUUGUAACGGUAGAGACAAACAAUUGAAGUCUCUACCCUUCUCUUCCAUUAAUUUUAACGGUAGAUUUUUUCCGACCCUAUAUAGCUUCCGUCAUGACUAUGAUGACUCCUCCACCGGUAGAUGUAAUUUAAUCAUCCACUUUAAGCACACUGAUAUAAAUCUUAUCAUAUUUUUGUUUUUAUUUGUUUGUUAAUGUUUUAAGUGUAAUUAGGGUAUGAUGAUGGUCAAUUAUUUUGUUGUUGAUUGAUAUAUAUGGUUUCCUUUUUGAUUAUUUGAAGCAAGAAGAUGAAGAGAUGCCUGUGCUGUGAAGGCUGUUCCUUAUUGUGCAUAUAAAUGGGCUGUUGAAGGUUUGAGUAAAUCAGUUGCAACGGAAUUUCCUGCUCUUAAUCCUCGUGUUAUACACACUGAAAUUCCCGAGUCACGCUUUGGCGCUUCAGCGUCCUUGUACCACGCACCUAAUGCAUGGUAAGUCCAGGAUCAUACACAUAAAUAACAUGGGAAGCAUUAUUCUACUGGAUUAUAGCUGUGUAGUGAAGAAAUUUCUGAAGUUCCCAGUUUUGGCAUAAUGCUUCUCGAGUUGAUCACUGGUCGUUUCGCUGUUGAUAUAACUCAAUGCUCUCAGUUAGUUGAUUGGGUAAGUAUUUGAUCAAUGGUGCUAAUUAUAGGUUGAAAACAAAUUUGCUUGGUGCAUAUUAUGUCAUUAAUGCUAUUUUAUGGCAUCUUGGCGAGCCCUUUGCUGAUAGAAGAAUUCUUAAAGAUGGCAUCUAUGAUUGGCUUGUUGAUCACAAAUUGCAGGAUGUUUAUCUUUAUGAUGAGAUGACCCGAAUCAUUCCUUCUGCUGCAGCUUACAUACACCAUUCAGUGCGGCUUAGACCUCGAAUUAGUCAGGUAAAUUAUAUGUUCCAGAACUUUGCUAUUUACUAUAAUCAAAUUGGUUAUUAUAACUUAGAAACUCCAUGCUCAUGUAUAACUUUGCUAUUAGAAAAUUAGAUAGUUGGAGCUAUUAUAAGGAAAUGUUUACAUAGAUGAUUUAAGUGAAAAAAAGUAAUGGUACUACUACCACACCCGGCAACAAUACUCUAGUUGGUUCCGAUGAAAACGUAGAUUCAAGGCAAUACAGGAAAGAUAUGAAGAAAUUCAGAAAGAUAGUAUUAGAAAUCCAAGAACAUAAUAGCUAUGAUGAUAUUACUAAUGACACAUGCACUUUUCUUGCUUUGAAGCCCAAAAUGCUACAUAGGAUAUGGAAUUACAGCAAAUGUUGGGAGUCUACUUGCAAGUUCAAGGAACAAUUUGUAAGUCACUGACUUAGCAUAUCUUCAUGAAGACUGUGUAAUUCCAGGAUCAUACACAUAAAUAACAAGGGACGCAAUAUUCUACUGGAUCAUAGCUGUGUAGUGAAGGUAUAAAAUACGUAUGGUCUAGUUUUGGAUAGUUUUGUAUGAAAUGAUUGUUUAGUGUAUUUACAUUUUAAAUAAUAAUUAUUAGAAAUGCUGCAUACAGAAUUGGAAA